GGGGCUAUAGCUCAGUUGGUAGAGCGCUUGCAUGGCAUGCAAGAUGUCAGUGGUUCAAUUCCACUUAGCUCCA
rnacentral:tRNA from 1 species